GAAAUGCGAUACGUCAUGCGAAUUGCAAAACCAGUGAGUCAUCAAAACUUUGAACGCAACUUGCACUUCCCUCUGGGGAGUAUGUCUGUUGGAGUGCUUGUUCAUCCCCACCACAAACCCCAUUCCCAUGGGAUAUGUGAAGCCCACCUAUUUUUCCUUUGGGAUAAAUAGAGUGUAGAUGAAUUUAUAACAAAAUAUCCGAUCCUAGUAUUAAAAAUUUAAUACAGGAACGCGACGUCAUAGUUUUAUUACUUGAUUAUCCGUGUUUCUGUAUUCUAUUUAUUAGGUAUCAGUUAUUUUUUUCGAUCGAGCCUCCAAUCAGUCAAGAAUACCCGCUGAAUUUAA
rnacentral:misc_RNA from 1 species